rnacentral:rRNA from 1 species
AGUGAACGCUGGCGGUAGGCCUAACACAUGCAAGUCGAACGGCAGCACAGUAAGAUCUUGCUCUUACGGGUGGCGAGUGGCGGACGGGUGAGGAAUACAUCGGAAUCUACUUUUUCGUGGGGGAUAACGUAGGGAAACUUACGCUAAUACCGCAUACGACCUACGGGUGAAAGCAGGGGAUCUUCGGACCUUGCGCGAUUGAUUGAGCCGAUGUCGGAUUAGCUAGUUGGCGGGGUAAAGGCCCACCAAGGCGACGAUCCGUAGCUGGUCUGAGAGGAUGAUCAGCCACACUGGAACUGAGACACGGUCCAGACUCCUACGGGAGGCAGCAGUGGGGAAUAUUGGACAAUGGGCGCAAGCCUGAUCCAGCCAUACCGCGUGGGUGAAGAAGGCCUUCGGGUUGUAAAGCCCUUUUGUUGGGAAAGAAAAGCAGCAGGUUAAUACCCCGCUGUUCUGACGGUACCCAAAGAAUAAGCACCGGCUAACUUCGUG